CGGGGUGCACCAGGCGCGAAAACUUUACAAUGCUGGCAACAGCGAUAAGGGGACCUCGAGUGCCAGGAUACAAUCUUGGCUGUCGUGAUGCCUAAAAAGCAUUACAUAGCAAGGGCCGGGCAAGACCGGUGCCAGCCGCCGCGGUAACACCGGCGGCUCGAGUGGUAACCGCUAUUAUUGGGUCUAAAGGGUCUGUAGCCGGCCGGAUAAGUCUCUUGAGAAAUCCAGCAGCUCAACUGUUGGGCUUUCAGGGGAUACUGUUCGGCUCGAGGCCGGGAGAGGUGAGAGGUACUUCAGGGGUAGGGGUGAAAUCUUGUAAUCCUUGAAGGACCACCAGUGGCGAAGGCGUCUCACCAGAACGGUCCUGACGGCAAGGGACGAAAGCUAGGGGCACGAACCGGAUUAGAUACCCGGGUAGUCCUAGCCGUAAACGAUACUCGCUAGGUGUCGGCCACGGUGCGACCGUGGUCGGUGCCGUAGGGAAGCCGUGAAGCGAGCCACCUGGGAAGUACGGCCGCAAGGCUGAAACUUAAAGGAAUUGGCGGGGGAGCACAAGGGCGAAUCGCGG
rnacentral:rRNA from 1 species